CGCGAUGAUGUUCUGGUGGAUCGGCGCGCUCGCGCCGCGCGCGUCGCUGCGGGCGCGCGCCGGCGCGGCGCUGGCCGUCGCGU
rnacentral:tRNA from 1 species